rnacentral:misc_RNA from 1 species
CAGCAACGUCCACCCGUGCAUGCCUCUUCAUUUGUGCGUCAAGGUUGCUUUUGCCUUGAGCAUUGCUUUGGUUCCCUGUGUUGCAUGCCUACUCGAUGGUAUUAUAUGGUUUUAUCGAAGUCCCUUUUCAUCAUGCGUCGCUCGCCCGACGCGGGGUGAACCUCGAAGCGGUCUCUGUGAUCCGUAUCGUCGAUGCGUAUGCAUAGGCGACAUGGCCCAUUGAGCAUUGCUUGGUCUCUCGGAUACGGAACAUCGUGUGGGCAUGGGGCCUUUACGACCCCUYGUUUGUCCCUGCUAAGCGUUCUCGCUUCUUUAAAACGACCGUCGGUCACGUGUUGACGUGUUCAUGCGGGACCGAUAACGUCGAAG